rnacentral:lncRNA from 10 species
UUGUUGUUUAUUUGUUCAUUUGGGUUUUUGUGAAAAUGCGGUUAAGAAAUAAAGUCAAUAACUUAAAAAAUGGAAAUUAGCCCAGUAUAUAUGUUUUUAGGGUAUAUUAAAUGCAGUGAAGCUUGGCAUUGGAGGCAAAGAUUUUUGCAGGCUCAUUUGAACCAUGACUCUAUUGAGCUAGAGUCUUCUUUCCUCAUAAUUAUGGUUCCUUCUGGUGUAUCAUUUAUUCUCCUAAAUAUGUCAUUUGAUAUUUUUUAUCAUGAACAAAAUGAAAAACGUGAUGCCAUUCUUAUUUCUUUGUUCAUUCCCUCAACAGAUAUUUAUUGAGACUAUCCAGAGCUGAAGAUACAGCAGUCAUCAAAGCAUAGAAAUUCUUCACUCUCAAGGACCUUACAUUCUAGUAAAGCCAACAAGAAUUGCUUAACGGGUCGAAUGUGGGAGAAAGAAAAUGAAGAAUUUUCUCACAGACUAGCUUCUGGUAAUGAAGCCGAGCACCACUUCAUGAGCUGGGCACCAUAAGAUAGGUUCAUAUCCUGAUAUGAACUCUGGCUCUGCAUCUUCAUGUCAACAUAUCUGAUCCAAAUCUUUUGUGAGUUAUAUGAGUAGUUAUUAUAUCAAGAAUUCUUCCUGUAAAGAAAUAAUCCAUCCUCCACUCAGUCCACCUCUUAUAUCACACUUCAGGUCCUACAAAAUGUUCGGCAUUUUCCCAACUACAUCCACCUCCUUGGCACAUUAAAAUGAGUGUUGUACCAAAUGCCCAUCAAUGAUAGACUGGAUAAAGAAAAUGUGGCACAUAUACACCAUGGAAUAUUAUGCAGCCAUAAGAAAGAAUGAGUUCAUGUCCUUUGCAGGGACAUGGAUGAAGCUGGAAGCCAUCAUUCUCAGCAAACUAACACAGGAAUAGAAAACCAAACACCGCAUGUUCUCACUCAAAAGUGGGUGUUGAACAAUGAGAACACAGGGAGCGGAACAUCACACACCAGGGCCUGUAGGGGGUGGGGGGCAAGGAAAGGGAGAGCAUUAGGACAAACACCUAAUGCAUGCGGGGCUUAAGACCUAGAUGAUGGGUUGAUGGAUGCAGCAAACCACCAUGGCACAUGUAUACCUAAGUAACAAACCUGCACAUUCUGCCCAUGUAUCCCAGAACUUAAAAUAAAAAAAAAAUUAAAAAG